AAGUCGAAGGGCAUCGCGAGGGAGUGCUUGCACUCCCUGGCGGCGACUGGCGCACGGGUGAGUAACACGUAUGCAACCUGCCCUCCACAGGGGGACAACCUUCCGAAAGGGAGGCUAAUCCCGCGUAAAUCUCGAUGGGGCAUCCCAUUGAGAGGAAAGCUUCGGCGGUGGAGGAUGGGCAUGCGGCGCAUUAGCUAGUCGGCGGGGUAACGGCCCACCGAGGCGACGAUGCGUAGGGGUUCUGAGAGGAAGGUCCCCCACACUGGUACUGAGACACGGACCAGACUCCUACGGGAGGCAGCAGUGAGGAAUAUUGGUCAAUGGGCGGGAGCCUGAACCAGCCAAGCCGCGUGAGGGAAUAAGGCCCUAUGGGUCGUAAACCUCUUUUGUCGGGGAACAAAAGCGGGGACGCGUCCCCGUCUGCGUGUACCCGAAGAAAAAGCAUCGGCUAACUCCGUGCCAGCAGCCGCGGUAAUACGGAGGAUGCGAGCGUUAUCCGGAUUUAUUGGGUU
rnacentral:rRNA from 1 species